rnacentral:rRNA from 1 species
UGGGGAAUAUUGGACAAUGGGCGGAAGCCUGAUCCAGCAACGCCGCGUGAGGGAUGACGGCCUUCGGGUUGUAAACCUCUUUCAGCACAGACGAAGCGCAAGUGACGGUAUGUGCAGAAGAAGGACCGGCCAACUACGUGCCAGCAGCCGCGGUAAUACGUAGGGUCCGAGCGUUGUCCGGAAUUAUUGGGCGUAAAGGGCUCGUAGGCGGUCUGUUGCGUCGGGAGUGAAAUCCCUGGGCUUAACCCAGGGCCUGCUUUCGAUACGGGCAGACUAGAGGCAUUCAGGGGAGAACGGAAUUCCUGGUGUAGCGGUGAAAUGCGCAGAUAUCAGGAGGAACACCGGUGGCGAAGGCGGUUCUCUGGGAAUGUUCUGACGCUGAGGAGCGAAAGUGUGGGGAGCGAACAGGAUUAGAUACCCCCGUAGUCC